UCAGACGAUGCGUCAUGCAUAUCAAUAAGCGGAGGAAAAGAAACUAACAAGGAUUCCCCUAGUAACGGCGAGUGAAGCGGGAAGAGCUCAAAUUUGAAAUCUUAAAGGGUUUCCCUUUACGAAUUGUAGUUUAAAGAAGUGUUUUCUGUUGAGGUUUUGGUAAAAGUUCUUUGGAAUAGGACAUCAUAGAGGGUGAGAAUCCCGUAUUUGACCUUUACUUUCAACUUUGUGAUACACUUUCAAAGAGUCGGAUUGUUUGGGAAUGCAGUCCAAAAUGGGUGGUAAAUUUCAUCUAAGGCUAAAUAUUGGCGAGAGACCGAUAGCGAACAAGUACCGUGAGGGAAAGAUGAAAAGAACUUUGAAAAGAGAGUUAAACAGUACGUGAAAUUGUCAAAAGGGAAGCGUUUGACACCAGUGUUGUUUUUCUGAAAAUCAAUUAAAGAACUGUUUAUGCUAAGUUGUUUAGACUUUAUCAGCUAUCUGUUUAGUUUUGAGCUUUUCUUUAAUGCACUUUUCAGUUAACAAGUCAACAUCAAUUUCUUUUGCUGUAAAAAAGCUUGAGGAAGGUGGCUUGAGAUUCGUCUUAAGUGUUUAUAGCCUCUUGCCUAUGCAGUCGGAGAGAUUGAGGUCUGCAGCGUAGAUCCUUCGGGGCUAAAUGCAUUUGUGCUAAGUUAUAGCAUUUUAUAGACAACUUGUUGACUAUGAUUUGUCUUGUAGCUUACUCGCUUAUGUUAUUUUACCUACGCUUAGGAUGUUGAGCGCAUGUCUCUCUCU
rnacentral:rRNA from 1 species